rnacentral:rRNA from 1 species
GACGAACGCUGGCGGCGUGCCUAAUACAUGCAAGUCGAACGCAGUGGGGACGGGUGAGUAACACGUGGGUAACCUCCCAUCAGAAGGGAUAACACUUGGAAACAGGUGCUAAACCGAUACUGAUGGAUGGACCCGCGGUGCAUUAGCUAGUUGGUGGGGUAACGGCUCACCAAGGCCACGAUGCAUAGCCGGUCUGAGAGGGUGAUCGGCCACACUGGGACUGAGACACGGCCCAGACUCCUACGGGAGGCAGCAGUAGGGAAUCUUCGGCAAUGGACGAAAGUCUGACCGAGCAACGCCGCGUGAGUGAAGAAGGUCUUCGGGUUGUAAAGCUCUGUCGUCGGGGAGGCGGUAUCUAAAGAGAAAGCACCGGCUAACUACGUGCCAGCAGCCGCGGUAAUUC